GCCUCCUGGGUCCUCCGGAAGUGGGUGUUGUGCAGCCAGGGGGCUGCCAUUGUGCAGCCCCGCAGCCCUCGAAGAUAAACCGGUUAGCCACGGUGAAGCUGGUUAGCCAGCUGAGUGAGUGGGAGGCCGACACGGCCAUGGCUGCGAAGGCGAACUGGCGCUCGGUGUAGAAGGACAGCGCCUGGGUCUUCCUGGGAGCGUUUCCUUAUGAGCUGACGGAAGGAGACGUCCUCUGCGUGUUCUCCCUGUAUGGGGAGAUUGUUAACGUUAAUCUCGUGCGGGCCGGGAAGACAGGGAAGUCUAAAGGAUUCUGCUUUCUCUGUUAUGAAGACCAGAGGAGUACAGUUUUGGCCGUUGACAGUCUUAAUGGCGUCAAGAUCAAGGGAAGAGCUAUCUGAGUGGACCACGUCUCCCGCUCCCGCCCCGCCUCGGGCCUCACGGGAUGUGGAUGACGCCACCAGAGAGCUCUGGGCGAAGGGCUGUGGGGCUGAGACCCCUCAUCCAGUUCAUCGGAGGGCUCUGAAGACGAAGCCCUCUCAGCACAGCACAAACAAGAAAAACAGACAAGAAAAAAGACCGAAGAGAAGACUGCUGCAUUAGUAAAGAGAAGGAGGGACAGUCAGAGCAGCCCUCGUCCCUGCCAGCCGGAGGCCAGACUGAAAUGGAGAGGGACGCCCCAGGCUCCGAUAAACAAACCCAGGACUGGUGUCCUCAGAAGAAGAAGAGCUACCUGAGGAUGUGUCACACAGAAAAAAGGCCGUGAGAGGACACAACCAGAAGGUAGCUGCCUGCAAACCAGAGAAAGAGAUCUCACCAGAAACCAACCCUGCUGGCAGCAUGAUCUUGGACUUUCAGCUUCCAGAACUACUGUGCAGACUGCAGGUGGCAGGGUCCCCCAGUGUUAUCUGCUUGGAUGGUCUGUUACCCAGAAAUCCUAGCUGCCAUGAUGCUAAGGAUGACAAAGAGAGACUUAAAUGAUGGAUGCCUAUGAAUGCCUGCAUUUUUCCUGGUUCUUCUGAGUCUGUGAAACUGCUAGUAAGUGGUAGAAGCAGAGGUUGGAGCCAGCUCUUUUGGAUCCAGGGAGCUCGUCACUAUACCACAUGUUAUUCUAAUACUUCAGAGGUUGGAAAACGAAUAUGGCCCUUUCGUUCAUGACCUCCUCCCAGGAGCAGAGCAGCAGAUAGUGGGGCCAAGAGUGGCCCAAGAACACCCACUGGGGACCUAAUGACGACCACAUUGCGCAAGUCCUGUUUAUCCUUCACUGUGGAAAUCACGUCAUCAUGGAGGCUUCAGAUUCUUUUGUGAUCGUGUAUUCUGGUGCAAGAACCCCUUCCUGGGAUACUGGGUAAAGGGUAGAAUUUCCUGAUGGGGGAUGUGAAACCAUGGUUAAAAUAAGAGAUGACAUUGAAGGAGCUUUCAUGAACACAAUCAAAAAAUUCUUGGAAUUCAAUAAUAAAAAUAUUUAUUAAUAUACUUAUUUUAGCAGAGUAGUCAGUAUUUAUUGAGAACUUAGUAUGUAGUAGACUGUUCUAUGUGCUUUAGACAUCUUAUAUCUUUUAAUUUUCAAGUGCAUGCAAUUUCCAGUCUGUGUGUUGCUAGAGUGAUGGCUGAAAGAGAUGGAAAAGGCAGCCCACAAAAAAGCCUCUGCCACUUCCAGAUUGAUUUUUCAUUGAAUUUGCAGUUGUUUGACUUAAUGCACCAAGCCAUCUGGUUUCUUGGGCAUCCUGUGGACACACAACUUGGCCAGGUCACUUUAGACCUCUCACUUUUUAUUUGAUCUUAUGAUGUAAAGCCUGUGAAUGACUCUCAGGGCUGCGUUUCCUCUGUAAGACACAUAGACCUAUU
ensembl:lncRNA